GACGAACGCUGGCGGCGUGCUUAACACAUGCAAGUCGAGCGGUAAGGCCCUUUCGGGGUACGACGAGCGGCGAACGGGUGAGUAACACGUGGGUGACCUGCCCUCAGCUCUGGGAUAAGCCUGGGAAACUGGGUCUAAUACUGGAUAUGACUCCACGGUGCAUGUCGUGGGGCGGAAAGCCUUGUGCGGCUGAGGAUGGGCCCGC
rnacentral:rRNA from 1 species